GCAGCAAGGAGAAGAUCUCGGACUCGGAGGGUUUUAAAGCCAACUUGUCUCUCUUGAGGAGGCCUGGAGAGCAAACUUACACACAGCGCUGUCGUUUGUUUGUUGGGUAUCUACCUGCUGAUAUCACAGAGGAUGAAUUCAAAAGACUAUUUGCUAAAUACGGAGAACCGAGAGAAGUUUUUAUAAACAAAGGCAAAGGAUUUGGAUUGAUUAAACUCGAGUCUAGAGCCUUGGCUGAAAUUGCCAAAGCUGAACUUGAUGACACGCCCAUGAGAGGUAGACAGCUACGAGUUCCUUUUGCCACACGUGCUGCUGCCCUUUCUGUUCGUAAUCUUUCACCUUAUGUUUCCAAUGAACUGUUGGAAGAAGCUUUUAGCCAAUUUGGUCCUAUUGAAAGGGCUGUUGUAAUUGUGGAUGAUUGUGGAAGAUCUACAGGGAAAGGCAUUGUUGAAUUUGCUUGUAAACCAGCAGCAAGGAAAGCAUUUGAACGGUGCAGUGAAGGUGUUUUCUUACUGACAACAACUCCUCAUCCAGUUAUUGUGGAACCACUUGAACAAUUAGAUGAUGAAGAUGGAAAAACUUGCACAGAAGAAUCCAAUGUAUCAAAAGGAGAGAGAAACUCCUCCUCGUUUUGCCCAGCAUGGCACAUUUGAGUAUGAGCAUUCUUAGCGAUGGAAGUCCUCGGAUGAAAUGGAAAAACAGCAAAGGGAACAAGUUGAAAAAAAUAUGAAGGAUGCAAAAGACAAAUUGGAAAGUGAAAUGGAAGAUGCUUACCAUGAACAUCAGGCAAAUCUUUUGCGCCAAGAUCUGAUGAGACGGCAGGAAGAAUUAAGACGCAUGGAAGAACUUCAUAAUCAAGAAAUGCAGAAACGUAAAGAAAUGCAAUUGAGGCAAGAAGAGGAACGACGUAGAAGGGAGGAAGAGAUGAUGAUGCGUCAACGUGAGAUGGAAGAACAAAUGAGGCGCCAAAGAGAGGAAAGUUACAGUUGAAUGGGCUACAUGGAUCCAAGAGAAAGAGACAUGAGAAUGGGUGCUGGAGGAGCAAUGAACAUGGGAGAUCCCUGUGGUUCAGGAGGCCAGAAAUUUCCACCUCUAGGUGGUGGUGGUGGCAUAGGUUAUGAAGCUAAUCCUGGAGUCCCACCAGCAACUAUGAGUGGUUCCAUGAUGGGAAGCGACAUGCGUACUGAGCGCUUUGGGCAGGGAGGUGCGGGGCCUGUGGGUGGACAGGGUCCUAGGGGAAUGGGGCCUGGAACUCCAGCAGGAUAUGGUAGAGGGAGAGAAGAGUAUGAAGGCCCAAACAAAAAACCCCGAUUUUAGAUGUGAUACCUAGGCUUCCAGUUUGUUUUUGUCUUUUCUUGUUUAGAUACCUAUCUUUUAAAUUCUUGCAUUUUAGUAAAAAAGCUACCUUUUUAUGGAUGUUAGCAGUUUAUUGACCUGAUAUUUGUAAAUGGUCUGUUUGGGCAGGUAAAAUUAUGUAAUGCAGUGUUUGAAA